UACGUAGGGGGCUAGCGUUGUCCGGAAUCAUUGGGCGUAAAGAGCGUGUAGGCGGCCCGGUAAGUCCGCUGUGAAAGUCGGGGGCUCAACCCUCGAAUGCCGGUGGAUACUGUCGGGCUAGAGUGCGGAAGAGGCGAGUGGAAUUCCUGGUGUAGCGGUGAAAUGCGCAGAUAUCAGGAGGAACCCCGGUGGCGAAGGCGGGAUCCUGGGCCAGUACUGACGCUGAGGAGCGAAAGCGUGGGGAGCAAACAGG
rnacentral:rRNA from 1 species